rnacentral:rRNA from 1 species
AUGAAGACCUGUAUGAAUGGCAUAACGAGGGCUGAGCUGUCUCCUUUCCCCAGUCAGUGAAAUUGAUUUGCCCGUGCAGAAGCGGGCAUGAGAAAAUAAGACGAGAAGACCCUAUGGAGCUUAAGGCCAUCAAAUAGAUUAAGUCAAAACCCCUGUGUAAUCAGGCAUGAACUAAAUAAUACCUACUUGACUGCC